GACGAACGCUGGCGGCGUGCUUAACACAUGCAAGUCGAACGGUGAAGCUCCAGCUUGCUGGAGUGGAUCAGUGGCGAACGGGUGAGUAACACGUGAGCCACCUGCCCCUGACCCUGGAAUACGCGCUGGAAACGGCGUCUAAUACUGGAUACGAGAAGGGUCCGCAUGGGCACUUUCUGGAAAGUCUUUCGGUUGGGGAUGGGCUCGCGGCCUAUCAGCUUGUUGGUGAGGUAAUGGCCCACCAAGGCGACGACGGGUAGCCGGCCUGAGAGGGCGACCGGCCACACUGGGACUGAGACACGGCCCAGACUCCUACGGGAGGCAGCAGUGGGGAAUAUUGCACAAUGGGCGAAAGCCUGAUGCAGCGACGCCGCGUGAGGGAUGACGGCCUUCGGGUUGUAAACCUCUUUCAGCAGGGAAGAAGCGAAAGUGACGGUACCUGCAGAAGAAGCUCCGGCUAACUACGUG
rnacentral:rRNA from 1 species